CCUACGGGUGGCAGCAGUGGGGAAUUUUGGACAAUGGGCGCAAGCCUGAUCCAGCCAUUCCGCGUGAGUGAAGAAGGCCUUCGGGUUGUAAAGCUCUUUCGCAAGGGAAGAAAACGUAUCCUCUAACAUAGGAUGAGGUUGACGGUACCUUGAUAAGAAGCACCGGCUAACUACGUGCCAGCAGCCGCGGUAAUACGUAGGGUGCGAGCGUGGAGCGGAAUUACCGGGCGCUGAGCUGUCGCAGGCUGGUGAAAUCCCCGAGCUCAACUUGGGAACUGCGUUUGAAACUACAAGACUAGAAUAGGUCAGAGGGGGGUAGAAUUCCACGUGUAGCAGUGAAAUGCGUAGAGAUGUGGAGGAAUAUCAAUGGCGAAGGCAGCCCCCUGGGAUCAUAUUGACGCUCAUGCACGAAAGCGUGGGGAGCAAACAGGAUUAGAUACCCCAGUAGUC
rnacentral:rRNA from 1 species